rnacentral:rRNA from 1 species
UUAAUUACAUAAUCUUUGAAAGGGUCCGACCUUUGGGGAUUCUUCCGCAAUGGGCGAAAGCCUGACGGAGCAAUACCGCGUGAGGGAGGAAGGCUCUUGGGUUGUAAACCUCUUUUCUCAGGGAAGAAAAAAAUGACGGUACCUGAGGAAUAAGCAUCGGCUAACUCCGUGCCAGCAGCCGCGGUAAUACGGAGGAUGCAAGCGUUAUCCGGAAUGAUUGGGCGUAAAGCGUCCGCAGGUGGCUGUGUAAGUCUGCUGUUAAAGAGUCUGGCUCAACCAGAUAAAGGCAGUGGAAACUACACGGCUAGAGUGCGUUCGGGGCAGAGGGAAUUCCUGGUGUAGCGGUGAAAUGCGUAGAGAUCAGGAAGAACACCGGUGGCGAAAGCGCUCUGCUAGGCCGCAACUGACACUGAGGGACGAAAGCUAGGGGAGCGAAUGGGAUUAGAUACCCCAGUAGUC